rnacentral:rRNA from 1 species
AUUGAACGCUGGCGGCAUGCUUUACACAUGCAAGUCGAACGGCAGCGCGGGCUUCGGCCUGGCGGCGAGUGGCGAACGGGUGAGUAAUACAUCGGAACGUGCCCAGUCGUGGGGGAUAGCUCGGCGAAAGCCGGAUUAAUACCGCAUACGACCUGAGGGUGAAAUCGGGUGAUCUUCGGACCUCGCGCUAUUGGAGCGGCCGAUGGCAGAUUAGCUAGUUGGUGGGGUAAAGGCCUACCAAGGCGACGAUCUGUAGCUGGUCUGAGAGGACGACCAGCCACACUGGGACUGAGACACGGCCCAGACUCCUACGGGAGGCAGCAGUGGGGAAUUUUGGACAAAGGGCGAAAGCCUGAUCCAGCAAUGCCGCGUGUGUGAUGAAGGCCUUCGGGUUGUAAAGCACUUUUGGCGGGAACGAAAAGGACUGUGCCAAUACCACGGUUCGAUGACGGUACCCGCAGAAUAAGCACCGGCUAACUACGUG